rnacentral:rRNA from 1 species
GAUCUUGGCUCAGAUUGAACGCUGGCGGCAGGCCUAACACAUGCAAGUCGAGCGGAUGAAGAGAGCUUGCUCUCUGAUUCAGCGGCGGACGGGUGAGUAAUGCCUAGGGAUCUGCCUGAUAGUGGGGGACAACGUUUCGAAAGGAACGCUAAUACCGCAUACGUCCUACGGGAGAAAGCAGGGGACCUUCGGGCCUUGCGCUAUCAGAUGAGCCUAGGUCGGAUUAG